rnacentral:rRNA from 1 species
UGUAAGCGUAUACCAAAGUUGUUGCAGUUAAAACGCUCGUAGUCGGAAUUUGGCAGUUCCGGAUGUGUGCACGUCGUGUGCGUACUUCGCGGGGAUUGCUUUUGUGGUCUUGCGUAGGAUGAGGCACUUUUAUUAGUGAACGUCCUCACGCAACCACUUUUUACUGUGAGAAAAUCAGAGUGCUCAAAGCAGGCAUUUGCCGUGAAUGUAUUAGCAUGGAAUAAUAGAAUAGGACUUGGUUCUAUUUUGUUGGUUUGUUGGGACUGAGUAAUGAUUAAGAGGGACAGUUGGGGGCAUUUGUAUUUCGGUGCUAGAGGUGAAAUUCUUAGAUUACCGAAAGACAAACUGCUGCGAAAGCGUCUGCCAAGGAUGUUUUCAUUGA